UGUUUCCGCAUCAGUUGACAUCGUGUCAUACACAUGAGCUUUGGCAAAAUUUUCUGCGCCAACAUCGCGGAUCAUGUCCUCCAAUUUGUCUUCAUUCGGUCGAUCUUCUUCCAUGGUGGAGUCAGUAACAUUUUCAGUUUGCGAGUCAGUCGGAAAGUACAUUUCUUCGCCGUGCCAUAUCCAUGUUGUGCAACAUCUUAGGAAACCAUCAUAGAUAAGAUGUUCUCUAAUUUGGGUUGCGUUCAACUUUCUCCCAUUCAAGCAGUUCACACAAGGACAUCUAAACUUCACUUCAUCAUCACUUCUCCUCUCAUUACGUUGCGCAAAUUGUAUAAAUUCCUCUACACCUCUCUCGUACUCAGCACUAAUACGUGGUAAAUUAAUCCAAUUUCGAUCCCUUCCUAAAUUUUACAUAAAAAGAUAAUCUACUGAAAAUCAAACUUGCAAUUUCAUACAUACCAACAUUAUAAUUUCACCUAGUGAUUACUCAAAUAUUUUAUGGUCUAGGAAUUAUCAUAAUUCUAUAAUUUAUAUGUUUUCAUAUUUUAAUAAUUCUAAUAAUUAUAAAAAUUCUAAUAAUAAUUAUAAUAUUUCUAAAUUACCAAAACAAUAUAUUUUCUAUGUCUACAUUAUCAAACAACAGUAAUUGUUAUCAUGCAAAAAAAAAAACGAAAAAAUCAUGUUGAAAAAAAUAAAAAACGAUGAAGGGCAUCAAAUACCUGGAAUGGGCACGGCGAGAAGGACGGCGUGACAAUGGCACGACGUAAGACGAACGGCAACAGAAGUUCA
rnacentral:lncRNA from 1 species